GCCAGCAGCCAUAUCGCCCUGCAACUCACAGCUGGCAGCCCACUGGAGCUCAGCAGGUGUGAGCCUGGCCAGUACCUGGAUGGGAGACUCCUGGGGAAAACUAAGGCUGCUGCUGGAA
rnacentral:rRNA from 1 species